rnacentral:tRNA from 1 species
UGGCUCAGUUGGUAGAGCAUGGUGUUUGCAAUGCCAGGGUUGUGGGUUUGAUUCCUAC